GUGGUACAAUCCAUGUUGUACGCCCCCGUCUUCCUCGACGUAAUGGGUCCUUCCAGUGUAGUAGAAAAGCCUUGCGGGAAAGGAAGAGCGUUCUUUUCCUGCUCCCACCGAGACGAGACUAGCUUAGUCAUUCUUAGCUGUUGCAAGCCUCUGGACCCCAUCAUGGCGUGGUACCCUGGGGACGCCGGGAGGACGUUCUUCCGUGGAUGGGCUUCUUCGGGGUCAUGCCCGCGCCCACCCUGAGGCCUGAAAUUGAGAAAAAUCUGAAUCUAGUUCAUUCCAUGCCUCCUUGGAAACCGGAAUUGUGGAAAUCCUUUCAAUCCAUGAGUAAGCUGUAACAUUAUGAAAUAGAAAAGGACACAAAAACCAGAAUCGGCAGUUAUUGUCUGCAGUUUUGUGGAUUCCUAAGGUGACUAAGGGCAGUAAUACUAUAUUGGGCCUCAAGAAUUUGCUUAAUCUCAGGUUCCUGUUGAAUUUCCCAAGAGAUCCAAGGUCUUCAUGGAAGAAAAGUUUUGGACCUGGGUGAUAAAUGGUGGUUUGGGAUUCUAUUGAGCUUUCCACAAGGGUUAGCAUAUGUGAUUUCAUCCCUUGUCUGAUAUGGAUUGUAUAUAAUAAAUAUGUAAAAUAAAGCUUGACUUUUCCUUUUCAAAAGGUUGUUAUUGUCUUGAUAUUAAAAGGUACUUUCCUGAGAAAUAACUUUUUUAUGAUAUGAAUAGUGCCUCCCUUUCUCCCAAAGUUAAAGUGAUUCACCUUCUAGGUAUUAUACAAGCUAGAAUCCUAGGUAUCAGAAUACCUGAAAUUCCUGACAGUUUUCUGGUCCCUGCACUUAUUGCUUUUGUGGUGUUACUGAGACACUUAAGAAGGCUAUUAACUGAAGAGGGAACUCUCCUUAUAAUGAACAUGUUUGAAUAUGGCCAAUUUUUCUUUUGGGAGGGGGUUAGUGACUUGCCCAGGGUCACACAACUAGUGCCAAGUGUCUGAGGUUGGAUUUGAACUCAGGUCCUGAAUCC